rnacentral:rRNA from 1 species
GGGUCAGUAGGUUGGUCGUGCCACCGGUACGUACUGGUCUCACUGAUUCCUCCUUCCUGAAGAACCGUAAUGCCAUUAAUUUGGUGUUGCGGGGAAACAGGACUGUUACUUUGAAAAAAUUAGAGUGUUUAAAGCAAUAUAACGCUUGAAUACAUUAGCAUGGAAUAAUGAAAUAGGACGAUCGAUCCUAUUUUGUUGGUUUCUAGGAUUGACGUA